CCUACGGGAGGCAGCAGUGGGGAAUAUUGGGCAAUGGGCGCAAGCCUGACCCAGCAACGCCGCGUGAAGGAAGAAGGCUUUCGGGUUGUAAACUUCUUUUCUUAGGGACGAAGAAAGUGACGGUACCUGAGGAAUAAGCCACGGCUAACUACGUGCCAGCAGCCGCGGUAAUACGUAGGUGGCAAGCGUUAUCCGGAUUUAUUGGGUGUAAAGGGCGUGUAGGCGGGAGCGCAAGUCAGAUGUGAAAACUCAGGGCUCAACCCUGAGCCUGCAUUUGAAACUGUGUUUCUUGAGUGCUGGGGAGGCAAUCGGAAUUCCGUGUGUAGCGGUGAAAUGCGUAGAUAUACGGAGGAACACCAGUGGCGAAGGCGGAUUGCUGGACAGUAACUGACGCUGAGGCGCGAAAGCGUGGGGAGCAAACAGGAUUAGAUACCCGUGUAGUC
rnacentral:rRNA from 1 species